AUGGCGGAGACGAAGGAGAGCGCAAAGCUUGAGAGGUUGCGCAGUGCGGUGAGGCAGCAGAAGGGGAAGCUGUACAUCAUCAAGAAAUGCAUCGCCAUGCUCAUCUGCGGCAGCCACAAGUGUGUAUUCUCUUGCACUAGUUCUGCCAUGUUCUGA
rnacentral:rRNA from 1 species